UUGGAUUACAAAAAUUGUUUUUAUUCUGAAUUUUAUUCUCAUAUUCUAUCUGAGGGGUUUGUGAUCGUUGUAGAAAUCUCAUUCUUGCUACGAGAAUUAUCUUGUCUGGAAGUGAAAGAAAUACCAAAGCUUCAGAAUUUACGCUCUAUUCAUUCAGUAUUUCCCUGUUUAGAAGACAAUUUUUUGCAUUUGGAUUGGUUGCUCUUAGUGUGUUACCUAGUUAUGCACUACUCACUCUAUUUCCCAAUUGCAACCAUGUUUGCUAGGGUUGAUGAUGGGAAAUGUUACAAGCAACUUAUCCAAUGGCGUUGGGUAACUAUGUAG
rnacentral:rRNA from 1 species